ensembl:lncRNA
GUGGAUCAUGAUGUAAGAACUCUCAGCUCCUUCUCCAGCUCCCUGUCUGCCUUCAUGCUGCCAUGCUUCUUGCCAUGAUGAUGAGACUAAACCUCUGAACUAUGGUAGAGCUAACACCCUUCACCAUAAGAGCUUCUCUUCACAGCAAAUGGAGACCGUCACAGAAAACUGCAAGUGGACAUAAUGCAGAAAGCCCUGAAUCAUGAGGAGCCCAGCCCCAGUGGAUACACUCACAUGCCAGCUCUGCUUUUGUGGCUCAGGGGACAACGUCUCUGAAGAGGGGUCAGAAAAGAUGUAAGAGCCAGAAUAUCAGAAAGUCUUAGGUUAAAUAGUCUCCCCUAGAAAUGGCUGCAUGAACAAAACUGGGACAAUGGAUAUAUCAAAAUAGAUGAAAGAAAAAUAUCACAGGUCCCUAGGCAAAGAACUAUAGACAGCUGAUGACUGCAGGGAGAGGAAGAGUUAGCAUCUUCCAGGUAUGGGCCCCCUUAUGACUUAUUUAAUACAAAGUGGCAGGCCCUGAAACCAUAUACCCAUAAGCAACAAAAAUAGAUUCAGCAGGUUGUAUUAUAUGUUUAUUCACAUGUAAAUGUGUGUAACAACAAUAAUAACAAUAAUAAUCAAAGAAAAAGAGGCUAUCAAUUUAGAAGUUAGGGUGGGGAUGCAUGGGAAGAGUUGGAGGGAGGGUACCUAGGAGAGGAAGGAGAGAGAAAAGGGAAGGGGAAAGUGAUAUAGUUCUAUUUUAAUUAAAAUGUAUAAAAUUUAAUUUAAAAAAGCAACAUGAAAUACACUGUUUGAAAGAUACAGCAAUUCCACUCUUAGGCAUAUACCCAAAGGAAGCACAUUCAUACAACAAGGACAUCUGUUCAACGAUGUUCAUAGCAGCACUAUUUGUAAUAGCCAGAAACUGGAAGCAGCCUACAUGCCCCUCACCUGAAGAAUGGAAGGAAAAAAUGUGGUACAUUUACACAAUGGAAUACUACUCAGGAGAAAAUAAAUGGAAUCUUGAAAUUCUCAGGCAAAUGGAUGGAACUAGAAGAAACCAUUCUGAGUGAGGUAACCCAGUAGCAAAAAGACAAACAUGGUAUGUAUUCACUCAUAUGUGGAUUUUAGACAUAGAGUAAAGGAUUACCAGCCUACAAUCCACACUGCCAGAGAAGCUAGUAAAUAAGGUGGACCCUAAAAGAGAUAUGCAUGGUCCCCUGGAGAAGGGGAAAGGUCAAGAUCUCCUGAGCAAAUUGGGAGCAUGGGAGGAGGGGGAAGGGAGCUAGGAGAAUAAGAAGGGGAGAAGAGGAGGGAUGAGGAAGACAUAAGGGAGCAGAAAGAUUGAGUCUGGGGAAGAAUAGAAGAUAACAAGAAUGGAGAUACCAUAAUAGAGGGAGACAUUUUAUGUUUACAGAGAAAUCAGGCACUAGUGAAAUGUCUGGAGAUCUACAAAGAUGACACCAGCUAAUAAUCUAAGCAACGAGGAGAGUCUACCUUAAAUUCCCUCCCCUGAUAAUGAGAUUGAUGACUGACUUAUAUGCCACCUGAUAGCUCUCAUCCAGCAGCUGGUGGAAGUAGAAGCAGACACCCACAACUAAUCACUGAACUGAACUGGAAUCCAGAUGCAGAGAAGGACAAGUGAAGAGCAAAGGGUUCCAGACCAGGCUGGUGAAACCCACAGAAACAGCAGACCUGAACAUCGGGGAACUCUUGCUCCCCAGACUGACAGCUGGGAUACCAGCAUGGGACUGAUCCAGACCCCAGGAACAUGGGUUUCAGUGAGGAAACCUUGGAAAUCUAUGGGACCUCCUAUAGUAGUUCAGUACUUAUCCCUAGCAUAGGUGGAGAAUUUGGGAGCCCAUUCCAAAUAGAGGAAUACUCACUGAGCCAAGACACAAGGGGGUGGGCCUAGCCUUAUCCCAAGAGAUACAAUAGACUCUGAUGAGACUCUAAGGAAGGCCUCACCAUCCAUGGGACGCAGAAAGGAU